rnacentral:misc_RNA from 1 species
CAUGGUUAUAUUUGGGUGGGUGAAGAUUAAUAUUAAUCAACAUUUAUAAUUUAUAAUUGACAUGUUUUUCAAGAAAAACAAAGGAGAGAUUAAGCUUCUUCAUCAAUUUCUUCAUACAGAUCAUCAAUUGACAUUGAAUUUGAAGUAAUAUUUAUGUGUAUGCUACUGGAAUGCCAAAGAUGUACAUAUAUCGUAGUUGAAUAUCCAAAUAUCCUUGAGAACUAUUUUAACAUUAUGUUUAUAUAGCCUGCAGAUGAAUUUCACUAGAUUUCAUUUGGAUAUUUGAGAAUUGGCCAUGAAAAAUUAUUUGACUAUUAUAUUAUGUUAAUAUUUUUCACUUUUCUUUUUAAAUAAAAAUAUCUAAAUCCAUCUUCAAUUAGAUGAAAAACUAUUCAAGCAUAUGAAUUCCAUCAAUUUUAAUUAAAUCAAAUUCAUAGUUUUAAAAUUCAUAAUAAAUUAAUUGUGGUGAUUGGUAGAAUUUGGCUCAAGUAUAAACAAUUCCAUAGCAUAGAGAUCAUAAAAUGCAAAUAAAUUUUUUUAUGUAUACCAAACAUAUAACAAGAGUGGAUUUGUGAAUGAUUCCACAAAAUUUUACACAGUUCAUCCAUAUCAAAUUAGAAGCUCUAAGCUUGAGUGCUUAAAUUCAUGAUCAGUUAAUCUUCCAUUAACAUUUGGCAUUGCAUUUAAGCCAAAACACAGACAGCAUUCGACAUAUAUGUCUUCGAGGGACCUGGCCGUUUCUGAGCCUAUCAUUCAUCAACACUAAAGGGACUCUUAAUUGCUCAAAUGAUAGCUAGCUGGGGAAAGAAAUAUCUUGCAACAUUGGAUAAAAAAACUAUGGACAACUGAAAGGGAAAUAGCAGAAGGAAGCAAUCAAGCAAUAAUAUUGCCGGUUCCAUGUGGUGGGGAAAAUGGAUCAGUCACGUCGCUUUUGAGAUGAAAUAUGAAUAUAAUAUGUAUAAUUUGUUCAUAGACACAAACUGAAAGGCUUGUGCUCUUUUAUAUGAUUUGAGAGUACACACCAAUGAUAAAUGGCAACUUAGUUGAUCCUCAAAGGAAUGUAAUAUCUGUACAAACAGAAACAACAAUAUCAACAUUCAUCAUAUGCGUUUUUACAGCUUUUCAUGUUCAUAUGCUGGCCAAUAGUUUCCGUUGUUUAUAAUUCAAACUGGGUAUAAAAAUUUAUUUUCAUGACAAUAAAAGCUAGCUAGACGAUCAAUUGCCUGUUUGAAAACCUCUGUAUUAAUCCGUACAUUAAAUUAAACAAAGGAAAAGGCAAUUGAGGCAUUAGAACACUUGUCUUCGUACAAAUUCUAUCCUUACCAGCUUCAUCCCAUUUGGUAAAAAACUAUCUUUCUUGCCUUUACUCAUAAUGAGUCUGCAACAUGCAUAAAAUAUAGCUGGAACUAAGCUGUUGGGCACGUGUGUGAGCAUGAGCUUAACAUGAAAAUAAUACUUAAAAAAAAAAGAGAAUUUAGUAAAUGCAAUGCAUGAGAUGCAAAAGCCUCUUGAUGAUCAACUGGCUUUGCCUCACAUAAUAAUUUAUAAAACGAGAAAAAUCAGUGUCAACUUUAUACCUUUGAUCUUCUCUCUAAGCAAAAGUGAUAAUUAAAGCUGAUCAAGACUAUAAAAUAAUUAACAUGAUUGCCAGAUUAGAUCAAAUAAUUUUAAUCAAUAAGACAAAGUUACAGCACUAACCCAAUACCAAAGAGAAGUAAAAUAUAAUAUAUAUUUACAUAUCUAGGAUCAUUUUUUAUCCAUGCUUUUUUUGUCCAUCACUGUUUUCAUGAUCACAAAGCACAAGAAAAUCUAAGCUUUUUCCAACCCUAAUAUCUUUCUCCUUUAAAGGAAACCCAUAUAAAUAAUUAAAUCAGACAAACUGAUUACUGAUCCCAACCUUUUGACUUGGAUGAACGGUAGCAAAUAAAUCAGCCUCAUAUUAAUCUAAAAUUAAACAUAAACACCUUUCUGAUCCCACAUUGGUUUCCUUUAAUAGCGCAAGAUUAGUGGAAUUAAUAAGCAUGACUCUCUAAAGUGAAGGCAACCAUGUUAAACAACUAAAGCAGAAUCCUAAAGAAGAACAAAGGAUCGGCUAUUAGGAUACCUGUGUUCGAUUAGUUGGCAACAUAAAUAAAUGGAAUUGACUAGUAGAUAACAGAAGUGCAAAUGCAAUUAUAGUAUCUGUUUAAAAGAACAGAAGAGGUGACCUAUUAAUGGGGAUGGAUUCAGGAGUCAAGACCCUCGUGAGUGUCUCAAAAUCCGGCUAAUAGUUUCAUCAAAAAGCACCAAGGUAAUUAUUAUUCUUGCACUGUUUGAUGAACAAACAAUUUCAUCAGAGAUCAGUCUUUAAAAUGUGUUAUAAAUUAGGCACACGCUUGCAAUUUUCUGCAUAGAUAUAAUGAAGGGGAAAAAUUAGGUUUGCCUUCAAUAAAUGGAUAUUUUGUCAAGUUCAGCUAAUUAUGGACUUCAAGUUUGGACAUGCGAUCUAUCACUACUGGUACUAGAGCUAGCACAAAAUUAAAAAGAUGUAAUUUUUUUUUCUCUACUACAAAAGAAAACCCUGACACGAUUUUAAAACAUGUUACCCCUAACAAGAAAAGACCAUUUCUUCUUUUUUUAGAUGAUCUAGAAGACUUUUCUUUCCACUUUAUUGUUCUUACUUCGUUUGUAAAAGGGAAAAAGAAAAACCCUAAUUUACUUCUGAGAGCUUCCUCAGACAUUAUUUUUGUCCAAGCUGGUCUAUUUACG